rnacentral:lncRNA from 1 species
CUCAGCGCCAGCCCCAGGACUGGUUUCCCAGCAAUAGGCGCAAGGUUCAAUCUUUGGGAUCAUCAGCAUGGAAUCUUCAUUAUCCCCUCUCUCCUGGGCACCUGCUUCCCGCGCACCUGGAUGAGGACCAGAGGAAUUCGCGAAUUUCCGAAUCACCGCAGGAAAAACCAGCUGGCCUGAAUCAAAGCAAUUCUGGGUAAAAGACUUCCCAGAUGAUCUCUCAACGCCUUGGCAACGCUUGGCGACUGGGAGCUAGAACCAUGAGUUGUUAAUGUGUGCACGGAAGCCACAAGUGUGCAGGACGCAAGCUGGGUUAUUGGAAGCGGACGACACCAAGGAGGCGUUGCCGCGGAUGUGGUGGACGAUGCCAAGUCGUCUUUUAAAAAAGGAAGUGAAGAAUGAUUAAGAGGGUCACGCCCUCUACCACUCCAACCUCUCUAAUCAGUCUCUUUCUGCUCCGUCUGCUGUACAUGCACCUGCUCAGGUGAGACCUCAAGGAAAAAUAAUCCUGUGGGUCCACCUAAUCUGACAACCACAGUUGCUAACAGUAUGAGUUCUGCAGUUAUACAGAACUAAGUCCAUUAGCUGUGUGACCCAUGGCCAAAUAUUUUCCUUCUCUGUGCCUGCAUUUCUUCAUCUGCAAACUGGAAUAAUGAUAGCAACUACUUCAGAGGACUAUGUUCAAGUGAUUCUCCUGCCUCAGUCUCCUGAGUAGCUGAUAUUACAGGUGAUGAAAAUAAUGCUUCCCUUAGUUGAAAUUCUUAGGAAAAUGGCUCCAUAAAUAUGUAUGUAGGAUGCUAUUACUCACUCAUUAUUGACAGUUGUAUCAAGUGUGAUAUAAAACACAAUUUUCAGUGACAAUGGAAUAAUUACAGUCUUGUAGUCUUGGAAUAGCCCCUGAUCACUACUGUUGCUGAUUCUGUCAUUAUAUUUUGUGUCACCUGGUUCCCAGUGGACUGUCAACACUCUUUACAUCCUGGAAUCUGAAAUCAAUUUUGUUGAGUUAACAAAGCUACAUCAUUACAUGUAUCAACUGGGGGAUCUCAGAUAAAUUCAUAUGGGUCUGAUUAUCCUUAAAUAAACCAUAUAAACAGUAGAUUGUUAUAACUGACAAGGGAUCGUGUUCUGUCUAGUCAGAGAACUUAAGUUAGGGAGGCAUGCUGUACAAAGUAUAAAAAUGUUUCAAAGGAUAGAAUUGUUAAAUUUCUGUUGUUUUAAGCCACCCAUUGUGUAGUACUCUGUUAUAGUAGCCCAAGAAAACCAAUACACUGUAUAAUGGAACAUUAUUUAGCCAUAAAAAAUGAAUUAAGGGCUGAUACAUGCUACAAUGCAGACAGACUUUAAGAAAACAUAAUGUUAAGUACAAGAAACCAGACACACAAGACUAUUUAUUAUGUGGUUCCACUUAUAUGAGACGUCUAAAACAGAAAAAUCUAUAGAGAUAAGCAAAUUAGCACAUGUCAAGGGCUGGGGUGAAAUGUAGAGUGACUACUAAUGAGUACACAAUUUUUUUUGAGAUGAUGAAAAUGUUCUAAAAUUGUCGUGAUAGUUGCAUAACUCUGUCAUUAUACCAAAAAAAUCAUUGAAUUGUAUAAUUUAAAAAGUAUGUGAAUUAUAUC